rnacentral:rRNA from 1 species
AGAUUGAACGCUAGCGGGAUGCUUUACACAUGCAAGUCGAACGGCAGCGCGGACUUCGGUCUGGCGGCGAGUGGCGAACGGGUGAGUAAUAUAUCGGAACGUGCCCAGUAGCGGGGGAUAACUACGCGAAAGCGUGGCUAAUACCGCAUACGCCCUACGGGGGAAAGGGGGGGAUCGCAAGACCUCUCACUAUUGGAGCGGCCGAUAUCAGAUUAGCUAGUGGUGAGGUAAAGGCUCACCAAGGCGACGAUCUGUAGCUGGUUUGAGAGGACGACCAGCCACACUGGGACUGAGACACGGCCCAGACUCCUACGGGAGGCAGCAGUGGGGAAUUUGGACAAUGGGGGAAACCUGAUCCAGCCAUCCCGCGUGUGCGAUGAAGGCCUUGGGUUGUAAGCACGUUUGACGAGGAAGAAACGGACGUCGGACCCUAAGUACGGUCCGUACACGUCGACGGUACC